rnacentral:tRNA from 2 species
GCCGCAAUAGCUCAGUUGGUAGAGCAAGGGACUGAAAAUCCCUGUGUCCUUGGUUCGAUUCCGAGUUGCGGCA